AGAGUUUGACAGGCUCAGAUUGAACGCUGGCGGCAGGCCUAACACAUGCAAGUCGAGCGGAAACGACACUAACAAUCCUUCGGGUGCGUUAAUGGGCGUCGAGCGGCGGACGGGUGAGUAAUGCCUAGGAAAUUGCCUUGAUGUGGGGGAUAACCAUUGGAAACGAUGGCUAAUACCGCAUAAUGCCUACGGGCCAAAGAGGGGGAUCUUCGGACCUCUCGCGUCAAGAUAUGCCUAGGUGGGAUUAGCUAGUUGGUGAGGUAAUGGCUCACCAAGGCGACGAUCCCUAGCUGGUCUGAGAGGAUGAUCAGCCACACUGGAACUGAGACACGGUCCAGACUCCUACGGGAGGCAGCAGUGGGGAAUAUUGCACAAUGGGCGAAAGCCUGAUGCAGCCAUGCCGCGUGUAUGAAGAAGGCCUUCGGGUUGUAAAGUACUUUCAGUUGUGAGGAAGGGGGUAACGUUAAUAGCGUUAUCUCUUGACGUUAGCAACAGAAGAAGC
rnacentral:rRNA from 1 species